ensembl:sense_intronic
AGGCAGAGUCCACAGCCGAGUAGGACUAGAACUGUGAAGUUCUGAAGAACAUAGUCUGCAGAGUUGGGUAGAAAGAUAGGAGAACUGGGGUAAAGAAAGAAGCAGGUUGAAAGUCACAGGAACCUUAGAGGGGGCUGGAAUGAUGUAGUCAACUGGCAGAGUGUGAGAUUAGCAUGCAUGAAGCCAUGGGGUUAGUCCCUGUCAUUGAUGAUGCAUAUGUCAUUCCAGGCUUACAUAGAGAGCCCUCAAGUCUAGCCUGGGCUACAUGAGACCCUGUGUCAAAAACCAAAUCAAAACCUAGACAAAAUACUCUAACUAGUAAUAUGUUAUAAGUAAAAAUAUCCAGGAAGAUUAAUGGGACUACUCACAUUUUAGUUCAGGAAUAAAAGAAUCAACAUAUACAAGAUGUUUUUAAAGGAACAAUGAAGAAUAAAAAUUUGCUUCAUGGGAAUACCCAAAUUCACAUUUUUGAUAAGGCAGUCUGGCUUGGUAACAAGCACCUUUACAAGCAUGCCAUCCUGUUCCUGUCACUGGAAGGAUUUAGUUACCCAGUUAUUUAAACCAUUCACUUCUUUUGUUUGGUCCUCAAUGGGCUUAUAAGUGAUAAUGAGUUUGAGGACAGUGAAACCCAAACAAAACUAAACAAGUAGAUAAUACUUAUUCAGCUUAUGCU